UUGAUCCUGGCUCAGGAUGAACGCUAGCGACAGGCUUAACACAUGCAAGUCGAGGGGCAGCACAGGUAGCAAUACCGGGUGGCGACCGGCGCACGGGUGAGUAACGCGUAUGCAACUUGCCUAUCAGAGGGGGAUAACCCGGCGAAAGUCGGACUAAUACCGCAUGAAGCAGGGGCCCCGCAUGGGGAUAUUUGCUAAAGAUUCAUCGCUGAUAGAUAGGCAUGCGUUCCAUUAGGCAGUUGGCGGGGUAACGGCCCACCAAACCGACGAUGGAUAGGGGUUCUGAGAGGAAGGUCCCCCACAUUGGUACUGAGACACGGACCAAACUCCUACGGGAGGCAGCAGUGAGGAAUAUUGGUCAAUGGGCGCAGGCCUGAACCAGCCAAGUAGCGUGAAGGAUGACUGCCCUAUGGGUUGUAAACUUCUUUUAUACGGGAAUAAAGUUAGCCACGUGUGGCUUUUUGUAUGUACCGUAUGAAUAAGGAUCGGCUAACUCCGUGCCAGCAGCCGCGGUAAUACGGAGGAUCCGAGCGUUAUCCGGAUUUAUUGGGUUUAAAGGGAGCGUAGGCGGGUUGUUAAGUCAGUUGUGAAAGUUUGCGGCUCAACCGUAAAAUUGCAGUUGAUACUGGCGACCUUGAGUGCAACAGAGGUAGGCGGAAUUCGUGGUGUAGCGGUGAAAUGCUUAGAUAUCACGAAGAACUCCGAUUGCGAAGGCAGCUUACUGGAUUGUAACUGACGCUGAUGCUCGAAAGUGUGGGUAUCAAACAGGAUUAGAUACCCUGGUAGUCCACACAGUAAACGAUGAAUACUCGCUGUUGGCGAUAUACAGUCAGCGGCCAAGCGAAAGCAUUAAGUAUUCCACCUGGGGAGUACGCCGGCAACGGUGAAACUCAAAGGAAUUGACGGGGGCCCGCACAAGCGGAGGAACAUGUGGUUUAAUUCGAUGAUACGCGAGGAACCUUACCCGGGCUUAAAUUGCAACUGACUGAACCGGAAACGGUUCUUUCUUCGGACAGUUGUGAAGGUGCUGCAUGGUUGUCGUCAGCUCGUGCCGUGAGGUGUCGGCUUAAGUGCCAUAACGAGCGCAACCCUUAUCGAUAGUUACUAGCAGGUCAUGCUGAGGACUCUAUUGAGACUGCCGUCGUAAGAUGUGAGGAAGGUGGGGAUGACGUCAAAUCAGCACGGCCCUUACGUCCGGGGCUACACACGUGUUACAAUGGGGGGUACAGAAGGCAGCUACACGGCGACGUGGUGCUAAUCCCGAAAGCCUCUCUCAGUUCGGAUUGGAGUCUGCAACCCGACUCCAUGAAGCUGGAUUCGCUAGUAAUCGCGCAUCAGCCACGGCGCGGUGAAUACGUUCCCGGGCCUUGCACUCACCGCCCGUCAAG
rnacentral:rRNA from 1 species